rnacentral:lncRNA from 1 species
CUCUGAUGGGAUAUGGGUAUAACUGUCCCUCUGACCUGAGACCGCCAUGGUGACUGGCAAGCAACUCACUGCACUUAGACACUAGACUACCUGAAUUUUUAAUUCAGUGAUGGAAGGCUGCUGGGUGUAGUCAAGUACUUGACUUGUCGGUGCGUGUGUCAAGAUGGAAUUGACCACUCCAGUUCAGGAGCUGUGUACAGUCAUGUUUUAAUUUAGUAAAAUUUUGGCCAGAGUA